GCAAGCCGAGGGGUAAGGUUCCGCUUGCGGAACACACGACCGGCGCACGGGUGAGUAACGCGUAUGCAACUUACCCUCUACUGGGGCAUAGCUCCGAGAAAUCGGAAUUAAUACCCCAUAAUAUCUUAGAUUCGCAUGUUUUUAAGAUUAAAGUUCCAACGGUAGAGGAUGGGCAUGCGUGACAUUAGUUUGUUGGUGAGGUAAAGGCUCACCAAGACUACGAUGUCUAGGGGGUCUUAAAGGAUGAUC
rnacentral:rRNA from 1 species